UUAAGUGAAUAUAUUAGUAAUCUCAUGUGGUUUGUUUUUCAGAUAAACCUGCAGAAGACUCUAAACAUUUAUGAAUCUACUUAUGGUUAACAAAGGACACACAGUGAACAAUGCAGCGAUGCCGACGUGGACGAUCUGACCGUCCUCCAAUCAUCCGGCAGCAUCUGUGACCACGGGGACUCAUUUGACUGCCAGGAAAAUACAUCACAACACUUCAAGGACACUUUCAUUGCUACAGUAAAACAAUCAACAAGAAGAACUUGUUCUUAAUACAGUGGACAACAUAUGGACUUAAAUCUGCUUAAAUAGUGACUGUCGGAUCAGUGUUGUGUCUUUUUAAUGUGUGGUUUCUCUCGUGCAUUGCAAUACUUUUAUUUAGCUGACAAUGUUAUCCCUGGCGAGUUCUAAUAAGUGCAUUCAAUGUGAGUAAAGCCAAAAUAUUGCAAGAAUCAAGCAAUUACAUUAUCAUCACCAUGCUGAUAUACUGAAGGUGCCACAUUUAGAGACUAUAAGUGAUGAGAAAGUUUUAUUUAAAUUUUUUAAUAUCAUGCCCAGGUGCAGUUCGAACAGAUGAGUUUUCGGUCUGUGACGGAGGAUGUGUAGGUGAUAUGAUUGAUUUAGAAACUGUCAAGUAGUAAUCUCUAAUAAUCCAAUAAUAAUAAUGCAGAGUAUUUUCUGCCUCGAUGAAUCAGACAGUUAAAAGUUUAAAGAACACGGUGUAGCUACCAAUUAUCUUUUCUGUAUUCAUACUUUUGAAAAAGUAUGUUGUCAUCUUAAAGCUAAUGUAGUGUUAACUCCACACAGAUAUGACUGCUGUCGGCCCCUGAACGCCUCUGUUGUGUUUCACUGCCCCUGAACGCCUCUCUGUUGUGUUUCACUGCCCCUGAAAGCCUCUCUGUUGUGUUCACUGCCGGUCCCUCCAGCUGCAGGUUUUAACUGGGAAAUAUCCUGUUGAGGAACGCAGGCAUGCAUGACAGAGGGCCACUCCUUUUCAUGCCUGUGCGGAGCUGCUGAGGAGAAAGUGUGUUUUAUUCAGAGACUGAAAUCUCUCUAAGUGUGAAAUCAGUCGCAGUCUAUUUCGGAGUCUUUUGAUAAAUGAUUACCCGUCGCAGAAAAUAACUCUCUAAAAGCUGCUGCUGCUGAUAAGAUUUCCAUCUCUUGCAGUAGAUUAUACUUUGUGUCUACAGAUGCUGUUCGGAUGUUUUGUUUCCAGUUUUGGCUUAAAAGUGUUGAAUCUAAGCGCUCCUGACACUGAUCUUAGCGUCAGUGCAACUUUCUCUACACGUUCAUCAGUAUUUUGCAGCAUCUUGCAGUGUAAAUAUGAGAAUACAGAAUACCAAAAGAUAUUGUUUUUAAGGAAUGUAAAUAUUUCAAAUGGGCUGUAGCCCUGUUGUUGUUUUGCUGAUGAAGAUUUGAAUAAAAUUUGAAUUGAUAAAAUC